rnacentral:rRNA from 1 species
GACGAACGCUGGCGGCGUGCUUAACACAUGCAAGUCGAACGGAAAGGCCCUGCUUGCAGGGUACUCGAGUGGCGAACGGGUGAGUAACACGUGGGUGAUCUGCCCUGCACUUCGGGAUAAGCCUGGGAAACUGGGUCUAAUACCGGAUAGGAGCCAUUUUUAGUGUGAUGGUUGGAAAGUUUUUUCGGUGUAGGAUGAGCUCGCGGCCUAUCAGCUUGUUGGUGGGGUAAUGGCCUACCAAGGCGGCGACGGGUAGCCGGCCUGAGAGGGUGGACGGCCACACUGGGACUGAGAUACGGCCCAGACUCCUACGGGAGGCAGCAGUGGGGAAUAUUGCACAAUGGGCGCAAGCCUGAUGCAGCGACGCCGCGUGGGGGAUGACGGCCUUCGGGUUGUAAACUCCUUUCGCUAGGGACGAAGCUUUUUGUGACGGUACCUAGAUAAGAAGCACCGGCUAACUACGUG